ACGCACGCUGGCGGCGUGCCUCAUCCAUGCAAGUAGCACGCUGAAGGAGGAGCUUGCUUCUCUGGAUGAGUUGCGAACGGGUGAGUAACGCGUAGGUAACCUGCCUGGUAGCGGGGGAUAACUAUUGGAAACGAUAGCUAAUACCGCAUAAGAGUAGAUGUUGCAUGACAUUUGCUUAAAAGGUGCAAUUGCAUCACUACCAGAUGGACCUGCGUUGUAUUAGCUAGUUGGUGGGGUAACGGCUUACCAAGGCGACGAUACAUAGCCGACCUGAGAGGGUGAUCGGCCACACUGGGACUGAGACACGGCCCAGACUCCUACGGGAGGCAGCAGUAGGGAAUCUUCGGCAAUGGACGGAAGUCUGACCGAGCAACGCCGCGUGAGUGAAGAAGGUUUUCGGAUCGUAAAGCUCUGUUGUAAGAGAAGAACGAGUGCGAGAGUGGAAAGUUCACACUGUGACGGUAUCUUACCAGAAAGGGACGGCUAACUACGUG
rnacentral:rRNA from 1 species